CAGGACUCCCGGUUAAAUGUGAAUUGUAGAUGAAUGAGAAAAGCAUUUGUAGUAUAAUUCCAUCCCAUGCAAUAUUUGGGACAUACUUAUACUAAAAAUCAUUGCUUGUUCACCUGAAAUUCAAAUGUAAGUGUGCAUCCUGGA
rnacentral:miRNA from 1 species